AAAAAGGGCUUCUGCUCUUUUUCCUUCCGGGGAAAUACAUGGAGCAAGCGGGAACACAUUAACCGCCAUUUUAAAGUGGAAAAAUAUUUAUUUUUUCAUAUAGGCGGGUUUUCGCUUCGGAAUCGCCAUCAAGAGAUUCCGGAAGCGCAAUUUUUGUGCACGUAGGAGCUGAUUGGAGUAUAGGCGUUCUAAGGGACGCUCGCUCUUCGCUCCUCU